rnacentral:lncRNA from 1 species
UGACAGAGAUGGUAUAUUGGGCUUCACUGUAUCCAGAGUCUAGACACCUUUCAAUGUUUUUUUGUUUCUUUUAAGCACAACUAAGGAAAAUUUAAAUUACAGAAACUUGAAAAUGUGAAUAAUAACAAAAUCUCUCCUAGGCUGGAUCAGCGUUCUGUGCAUGAAGUGAAGCAACAGAGUAAAUUAUUAAAUUGCACCAAAAUCUCUACUUUAUGCCUACGUUUACAAUGUAGAACAGCCUUCUGUUAGAAGAAGAUGCCAACGAGGACUUUCAUAGCUAGAAAGAAGUCAAUGUCUGUGUUCAAACUUCAAAGGACAAGCUGACUCUCUUGCUAGAAGCUAAUGCAGUUGGUGAUUUUAAGUUGAAGCUAAUGCUCAUUUACCAUUCUGAAAAUCCCAGGGCCCUUAAGAAUUAUACUAAAUCUACCCUGUCUAUGCUCUAUAAAUGGAAUAACAAAGCCUGGAUGAUGGCACAUGUAUUUACAACAUGGUUUACCGAAUAUUUUAAGCCUAUUGUUGAGACCUACUUUUGGGGGAAAAAAAAGAUUACUUUAAAAAUAUUACCGCUUGUUGAUAAUGCACCUGGCCACCCAAGAGCUCUGAUGGAGAUGUACAAGGAGAUUAAUGUUUUCAAAUAUGUAUUCUGCAGCCUAUGGAUCAAGGAGUCAUUUCAACUUUAAGGUCUUAUAGAAAUAAAUACAUUUUGUAAGGAUAUAGCUGCCAUAGAUGGUGAUUCCUCUGAUAGAUCUAGGCAAAGUCAAUUGAAAACCUUUGAGAAGGGAGAACCAUUCUGGAUGCCAUUAAGAACAUUCGUGAUCAUCAGAGGAGGUCAAAAUAUCAACAUGAACAGAAGUUUGAAAGAAGUUGAUUCCAACCUGCAUGGAUGACUUUCAGGGAUUCAAGACUUAAGUGGAGGAAGUACAUAACUAUAGAGGUGAUAGAAAUAGCAAGAGAAUUUGAAUUAAAAAUGGAGCCUGAAGUUGUGGUUGAAUUACUGCAAUCUCAUGAUAAAACUUGAACAGAUGAGGAGCUGCUUCUUAUGGAUGAGCAAAGGAAGGGGUUUCUUGAGAUGGAAUCUGCUCCUGGUGAAGACACUGUAAACAUUGUUUAAAUGACAACAAAGGAUUCAGAUUAUUCCAUAAACUUAGUUGAUAAAGCAGCAGCAGAGUUUGAGAGGAUUGAGUCUAAUUUUCAAAGAAGUUCUGUGAGUAAAAUGCUAUCAAACAGCACUGCAUGCUACAGAGAAAUCUUUGGUGACUGAAAGAAUCAAUGUAGCAAACUUCAUUGUUGCCUUAAGAAAUUGCCACAGCCACCACUCUGAUCAGUCAGCAGCCGUCAACUUCAAGGCAAGAUGCUCCACCAGCAAAAAGAUUAUGACUCACUAAAGACUCGG